AUGUUACACGUCAACCAGAAACAAGGUGUUCAAGAAGGAUCAGUGAAACGUCUGCAUUUCCAGGGAAGAAACAGGAGAGAAGUCUAUUUUUGUCCCAAACGCCACAACCACGAAAAUUUGCAAGAGAAUCUUAAUGUUUUUCAAACGGAGCUUGAGAAACUCUCCGCGGCCGUGGCAGCGGCUGCUCUUCUCCGGGUUCUGUCACGGUGGCCUGUGGUGCCCAGCUCUCCGGUCCCCUCCCCCUUCCGGCGAGAGUGGUCGCCAGGGAGGCCCUCUCAGCCCUGCUCUGCGGGGUCCACAGGGGGGCGUGGGUGCUGGGCGGCGGCGAGCCGGUGGGCAGUGGGGCUUGUUCCCGGGGCCCCCGGCGCCCGGUGCAGAACGGCGGCGGCGGUUCGCGUGAACAUCCAGGUGCUGCUGGGGGCGGCCGACCGCCUGGAGCGGCGGGAGAGAGAAGCUGAACACGGUAUGCCUCCAUGUUACCGUGCAAUAACAAGGACAGAGAUGCCUUAAAACGGAGGAGCAAAUCCCACAAGACUGAGCUGCUCUCCCUGUUCCAUAAUAACAGCAGUAGCAGAUCUGUUCACAGUGAAAUGGAGAAGAAUAGACGGGCCCACCCUGGCUUGUGCCUGGAAAAGUUGAAGGGGCUGAUGCCACUUGGUCCGGAAUCAAAUGGACACACUACGUUGAGUUUAUUAACAAAAGCAAAAUUGCACAUAAAGACACUUGAAGGUUGUGACAGAAAAGCCAUUCACCAAAUAGACCAGCUUCAGCGAGAGCAGUGACACCUGAAGAGGCAGCUGGAGAAGCUGGGCAUCGAGAGGAUACAGAUGGACAGCACAGGCUCCACCGUCUCCUCGGAGCCUCCAACUCCGACGGGGAAGAGAGGAAUGUGGACGCCGAAAGCACAGACUGCCUCACGGGCGACCUGGCCUGGAGCCGCAGCAGCGCGAGCGACUCAGACGAGCGGGGAAGCAUGCAGCGCCUGGGCAGCGAGGAGGGCUACUCCAGCUCCAGCAUCAAGAGAAGAAAGCUCCAGGACGGCCACAAGACACGUCUUGGUCUCUAGGAGAGCGUGGUCGCUUCGGCUGCCGCCCGGGUGGUCCUCCCCGUCGGUUCUGAUUAGGUAGCUUAUCGGACCUGCUCAAAAUUCCCUCGCACGUCGGCCUCCGUGUACCACCGUCACCAAAAGCAGCUGUGUGAAAGUUGUCAAGGAAGUGCUUAGGAUUGUGGGUUUCUUUUCUUUUCUUUUCUUUUUCUUUUUUAAAUUUAAGUCCCAUCCCCAUCUUUAAUGGGGUUGAGCGGGCCCCCGCACCUGCUGGCGUAGGGUAGGCACAGCUGAGCCAGUCAGUGCAGCCUGGACACCUAAGGGCAUCACAGACCCGUUAUUGCUCCGUCUGGGGUGGCUGAAUGCCACUCGUCCCUCUAAGAAGUUGGAGGACACAGACCAGGAUUGUGGGUUUCUGAUUGCAUCCUCUAGCUUCUCUCUUUCUCUCCGUAAAAAUUCGUCUCUGAGAGACUGUACAUUCCAAUCAAUUUGAACCACCCAAGAAUUCUUAGGCCGAAUAAGACUUCUCACGUCUCGGCCAUUUCCCCCCUUUUAUUUACUGUCCCCGUGUAGUCUACCAGACCUUCCUUAAAGUUCUCUGGCUUCCUAUGUGACUUGCCUAGCAGAAAUGUCCGAAUGUGUCUUGCGCUUAGGAAACUGAAGGAAACAAACUUUUAAAGUUGAGAUCCUGAUCUCAAAACUUCAAAGUAAGCUUUGAAAGUGGGAUUUAAGAGCGCUUAACCAUGGCCCUCACCGCCCGUGAGCAGGCAGGAAUACCUCCAGAAAACACACCCUUCACACACACCCCGCGCCAACGCCCCCGACCCGGGUGUGGAUGGGAGCAGUAUUUCUCACUCUCAAAUGGACCCCUUGCGAACACGUCUUUGGGGUAGCACAGCUAAUAAAAGUUCCAACAUCGUUUGUUCUCACAAACAGAACGGUACAAUCUAUUUUUGUGCGCAGUUCUUGGGAUCGUGCUGUGUCCCGCUCUCCCAAGACACAUUUCCCCUCCAAGUCGGUUAUGCUCCUGGUCUCUGGAACAUUUUUUUUCCCCUACCUCAGAGAUAAAUGAGAUCUCCAUUUCCCACUUAACACAAACUGAUUAUGCCUCUUUUUUUGUUUGUUUUUUUCUGAAUAAGUGACAUUUGGUCCAAUUCUAACCUAUUUUCCUGUUUAACUUUCAGCAAUAACUGAGCUUUGGUGCUAGCUGAGCUAGUGUGCAACAUCAGUGAAAAGAAAAGUCCACAUUUCUCCUCUCUGUUGCAGGUGAACAGGAGGGGAUGGUACAGCAUUACGAGAAUUCCUCUCCUUAUUGAUUAUUUUUGGACACACCCAGAAACUUCUUUAAGGAGGCUUUUGGGUUAAUAGUUUAAAAGGCUGAUUUUUCUUUUUGGUUAUGAUUUCUCCCUUAAGUCGUCUCCCACUUUGUAGCAUUUUUGUUUAAGCUAAAACAGAGCACA